rnacentral:rRNA from 1 species
AUGCUGCCAAGAAAAGCCUCUAGCGAGCUUCGAGCGGCCCGUACCCCAAACCGACACAGGUGGUCAGGUAGAGAAUACCGAGGCGAUCGGGCGAACUGUGGUUAAGGAACUCGGCAAAUUACCCCCGUAACUUCGGGAGAAGGGGGGCCACAGACCGUGAAACCCCAUGCGGGUGGCAGCAGUAGGUGGCCGCAGAGACCAGGGGGAAGCGACUGUUUACUAAAAACACAGGUCCGUGCGAAGUCGUAAGACGAUGUAUACGGACUGACGCCUGCCCGGUGCUGGAACGUUAAGGGGACCGGUUAGUCCGCAAGGGCGAAGCUGAGAACUUAAGCGCCAGUAAACGGCGGUGGUAACUAUAACCAUCCUAAGGUAGCGAAAUUCCUUGUCGGGUAAGUUCCGACCUGCACGAAUGGCGUAACGACUUCCCUACUCUCAACCACAGGCCCGGCGAAAUUGCACUACGAGUAAAGAUGCUCGUUACGCGCGGAAGGACGGAAAGACCCCGGGACCUUCACUAUAGCUUGACAUUGGUAUCCGAAUUGAAUUGUGUAGGAUAGGUGGGAGACUAUGAAGCUCGGACGCCAGUCCGGGUGGAGUCAACGUUGAAAUACCACUCUGUUGAAUUUGGGUAUCUAACUUCGGACCGUGAUCCGGUUCAGGGACAGUGUCUGGUGGGUAGUUUAACUGGGGCGGUUGCCUCCUAAAAUGUAACGGAGGCGCCCAAAGGUUCCCUCAGCCUGGUUGGCAAUCAGGUGUUGAGUGCAAGUGCACAAGGGAGCUUGACUGUGAGACUGACAGGUCGAGCAGGGACGAAAGUCGGGACUAGUGAUCCGGCACCGGCGAGUGGAAGCGGUGUCGCUCAACGGAUAAAAGGUACCCCGGGGAUAACAGGCUGAUCUUCCCCAAAAGUCCAUAUCGACGGGAUGGUUUGGCACCUCGAUGUCGGCUCGUCGCAUCCUGGGGCUGGAGUAGGUCCCAAGGGUUGGGCUGUUCGCCCAUUAAAGCGGCACGCGAGCUGGGUUUAGAACGUCGUGAGACAGUUCGGUCCCUAUCCUCCGCGCGCGCAGGAGACUUGAGAAGAGCUGUCCCUAGUACGAGAGGACCGGGACGGACGAACCUCUGGUGUGCCAGUUGUCAUGCCAAUGGCACGGCUGGUUAGCUACGUUCGGAAGGGAUAACCGCUGAAAGCAUCUAAGCGGGAAGCUCGCUUCAAGAUGAGGUCUCCCACCCCCUCGAGGGUUAAGGCCCCCAGCAAGACCACUGGGUUGAUAGGCCAGAAGUGUAAGCCUGGUAACAGGUUCAGCCGACUGGUACUAAUAGGCCGAGGACUUCACCU